GACGAACGCUGGCGGCGUGCUUAACACAUGCAAGUCGAACGGAAAGGCCCUGCUUUUGUGGGGUGCUCGAGUGGCGAACGGGUGAGUAACACGUGAGUAACCUGCCCUUGACUUUGGGAUAACUUCAGGAAACUGGGGCUAAUACCGGAUAGGAGCUCCUGCUGCAUGGUGGGGGUUGGAAAGUUUCGGCGGUUGGGGAUGGACUCGCGGCUUAUCAGCUUGUUGGUGGGGUAGUGGCUUACCAAGGCUUUGACGGGUAGCCGGCCUGAGCGGGUGACCGGCCACAUUGGGACUGAGAUACGGCCCAGACUCCUACGGGAGGCAGCAGUGGGGAAUAUUGCACAAUGGGCGGAAGCCUGAUGCAGCAACGCCGCGUGCGGGAUGACGGCCUUCGGGUUGUAAACCGCUUUCGCCGGUGACGAAGCGGGAGUGACGGUAAUGGGUAAAGAAGCACCGGCUAACUACGUG
rnacentral:rRNA from 1 species